rnacentral:tRNA from 1 species
CGAGAAGUAGAUCAGUUGGUAGAUCGCCUGGUUUGGGACCAGGAGGCCCCUGGUUCGAUGCCAGGCUUCUCGA